AUUGAACGCUGGCGGCAUGCUUUACACAUGCAAGUCGAACGGUAACAGGCCUUCGGGUGCUGACGAGUGGCGAACGGGUGAGUAAUGCAUCGGAACGUGCCCAAUCGUGGGGGAUAACGUAGCGAAAGUUACGCUAAUACCGCAUAAGCCCUGAGGGGGAAAGUGGGGGACCGCAAGGCCUCACGCGAAUGGAGCGGCCGAUGUCAGAUUAGCUAGUUGGUGGGGUAAAGGCCCACCAAGGCGACGAUCUGUAGCGGGUCUGAGAGGAUGAUCCGCCACACUGGGACUGAGACACGGCCCAGACUCCUACGGGAGGCAGCAGUGGGGAAUUUUGGACAAUGGGCGCAAGCCUGAUCCAGCCAUGCCGCGUGCGGGACGAAGGCCUUC
rnacentral:rRNA from 1 species